rnacentral:misc_RNA from 1 species
AAGUCGUAACAAGGUUUCCGUAGGUGAACCUGCGGAAGGAUCAUUAACACGUAUCCAACGUAAAAAAUCCCCCUGUGAACAUUUAAACCUGCUCUCGUAGCCAGUGCGAUCCAGCAAGAUCCAGCAGUGUCGAAAGGACUUCUGACAAAUGAGAAGUACAGUUACGAUUGAGCGGAGAUAGCUGCAUGGCAUCCCGAAGCAGUCAGUGUCUGAAAGUGUCAUUGAUUGUCUAAGGAUCUCGCCUCAACGAUUGCUAGAGGUCGCUCACCGACCGGCAGACAUGCAACCGGGUCCCCACGCCCCUUUACAACCCGAUUACCUCUGUGAGUCUAGGCGGACGCACUAGGCUAAAAAAACCUCGAACAACUGGCAACAAUGGAUAUCUUGGUUCUC